GAGAAGUCAGCCACUGAGGAGAGUAGGGAGCAGACGAAGACCCAGAGAGGCCGAUGGAAAGAUGGCCGACUCGAUGAAAUAUGUGAAGCUGAAGCGGAGUGAAACGUGUGGCUUUGGGUUCUCUAUCCUCGGAGGAGCCGGCUCGGAACUCCCACCGAUCAUAUAUGACAUCAUUGAGGGCUCUCCGGCUGCUAAUUCUUGCCAGUUAGCCCCAGGUGACAUCAUAUGGGAGGUGAAUGGUCAAGAAGUGAUUACAUUCACCACAAAAGAAGUCCUUAAUUGCCUGCGUUUAUCGGCUUCAGAAGUGACGCUAAAAUUAAAAACUGCAGAUGCAGGGAUUCAACAGCGAGUGCAGCAGUACUUGGCUACUCCAAACAACUCGGACGUAUUGCGCACUGCCAUAACCCGAGAUGAUUUGCAAGGGGUAAGACACAUCAAGGCCAAGAAAUCAUCGAGCCGAACACCACCGGAGCAGUCAUCAUCCACACCUCCAUCUCUCCCCAGCCCCACGCUUUCAGAUGCCUCAGACCGUGCAACCAUCAGCCAUGGCUCAAACCACACGGCGUCUGAGAACGGUAUACACGUGAAAGAUAGAACUACAGCGGAAAAUGAACGCAACAAGCAGAAGCCCAAAAAUGAAGCAUACUUGAUGACAGGUGAUCUGAUCUUGAAUCUCUCACGGACUUCCCACGAUCCCAGUUGGCUUCCGCAGCAGAGAACUGUUGAUGAUUUAAGAAAGUCAGGUAGCUGUAGUGUCCCUACGAGUCCUAAUGAAACAUACUUAGGUGGUGGCAGGCUAGCCAAGCAUGAAGUGGGAAGUCCGCAGAGUUUGUGUUCGCCGGUCUCAGCUGACAGUAAUCCUAGCGGUGUGCAAUUUACUUAUCCCCCAACUAGCACGGCAGUGAGAAUAUCCAAGUCUGAGGACCAUUUACAGUAUCAGAAGGAUAAUAUGUGUGCUGUUAACAUAGAGCUUGAUGAUGAUGUUACGUCUUCACUAAACACGCUGCUAGAUACCCGUGAUGACCCCAGUAAUUCCCCUGUCCCCAGUGAAGAGUGUGAUCAUCGCAUUGUGUGGACAUUCAAUGCCCCAACUUCCCCAGGUAGUGUUCAUUCAAGUCAUGACUCUGAUAGCCCAUUGAUUCGGUCACCCUCCCCUACUUCCCCCCAGUCUCCCACCUCCUCCAUGCAGUACUCAUGUAGUGGAGUGUACGAUAAAAUGUGUAGUGGCCGGGAUUCCUUAGGCAGCUCUAACCGAUCAGAGAAUGUGUGCUCUAAUAGCUCUAGCCUAACUAGUCCGGACACUGAUGUGCCUGAUGAACUUGAGUGGGACGAUACAACGCCAACAUUACAAAUCCCUUCUGCUCAUGCCAACGGUUUUGGUGCCAAAGAUUUACUUCCUAAUGGACAUAAUAUGGGGGGUGUAAUGACAACUGAAAGUAGAAGUCUAGUCACUGAUAAAGCCAAAGUAAGGAAACAGGAUGAAAAUCGCAUUGUGAUACGAGUGGAAGGCCCUGACAUGAACAGUUCAAGAAGAAGACCAACGCAGUUAAGCCGAGGCGAUGAGCAGAUACAUCAUGACCCACAGGACAGUUAUGAUGCAUCGUGUGACCCCGACCUGACCCCAACUAACACAAGGCCUCCCACACCUGGGUCAGGCACUCUGUCCCCAGAUACCCUUGCCUACCAGGAGUUGCGUGAAUCUGAGGAUGAAAUUACCUGUCUUUCAGAAGAGGAUGCAGGCAAGACCUCCAUUCGCACCUCAAGUACUACUUCCCCCCCUCUCAGUGAGGAUGAAUCAGAUAUUGACUCCCUACACAGCUUCCACUACAGUCCAAAGGCGGUAGACAUCCCAUCUGCAGUCCGGCUGGCUAAGAGGCUGAUCUCCCUUGAUGGCUUCAAGAAAUCAGAUGUAUCUCGCCAUCUGUCAAAAAACAAUGAAUUCAGUCGGGCAGUUGCAGAAGAAUAUCUGAAUUAUUUUGAUUUCCGGGGUGACACCCUGGACAAAGCCCUUCGGAAAUUCCUUGACAAAUUCUGCCUAACUGGCGAGACUCAAGAGAGAGAGCGUGUGUUAGUCCAUUUUUCCAGGAGAUAUCUUGAUUGCAACCCAGGCACUUUCAACUCCCAAGAUGCUGUGCACACACUCACUUGUGCGUUGAUGUUACUGAACACUGAUUUGCAUGGGCAAAGUGUUGGGCGAAAGAUGACUUGCAAUGAAUUCAUCGACAACCUCGCAGAUUUGAAUGAUGGAGAAAAUUUUCCCAGAGAAGUGCUCAAGUCUCUCUAUCAAGCCAUGCGAAGUCAGCCUUUGCAGUGGGCUACAGAUGAUGAUGUUGACACUGAAGGCACUGGGACAUCGAAGACAGGCAGUUCAAGUGGUGAUUCUCAGGGCGUAGUAGUUGGGAGUAACCCAUUCUUAUCUCCACCUACGGGCAACGGUAUUGUCUACAAAAAGGGCUACAUUAUGCGAAAAUGCUGCACAGACCCCAAUGGAAAAAAGACUGCCUUUGGGAAGCGAUCAUGGAAGAUGUGGUUCUGCGUUGUUCAAGACUUGGUGUUAUAUCUACACAAAGAUGAACAAGGUGCGAGACGUGGCCCACAGCAUGCUCAGUUAGGGCACAAUGCCAUCCGACUGCAUCAUGCUCUUGCAACUAGAGCUCACGAUUAUUCUAAGAAAGAACAUGUAUUCCGAUUACAAACAGCUGAUCAAGCUGAAUAUUUACUACAAACCAGUGACAGCAAAGAACUCCAAGCCUGGAUAGACACAAUCAACUUAGUGGCAGCCAGCCUGUCUGCCCCACCUCUUCCAGGGGCAGUUGGGUCCCAGCGCAAGUUCCAGCGACCUCUCUUGCCAUGUAGCAUCACCAAACUAAACUUGACGGAACAGUUGGAGGACCACACGGAGAGGUUAGCUCAACUAGAACGAGAGUUGGAGGACCACAAGGCUCAUCCACCAGAAAAAACAUCAAGAGCUGCCACAGCUUCUAAUUACCGUGAGAAGGAAGCAUACCUUAAUAGUGAGGUGAAGAGAUACAGGACAUACGUAUACCUCCUCCGAUCCCGUUUGUCAUCGCAGCAGUCUGGCCAGCAAGGAACAAAUGCUGGAAUAGAUGUUGGAGAUCUGCCUGUGUUUGAAGCCCGGCCAGCAGGGGAGGGGGCAGAAGGGGGGGAACGUGGGGCCCGGGUAGUACCGCCACCCAUCCCUGAGCGGGCACGGCCUGGUGACAGCAUGUUGACAUCUUGCUUCUGUUACUCAUAGAGGCUUACAAGAUUUUUUCCCAAUUUUGUGAAGUAAGUCAGCUGCUGAAUGUGGUCUAAAGCCCUCCUCCGACUGCCAAGUUUUCAACAGAAAGCAAAUCACCCGAAACCUCGUUAGGCAUUGCAAGUGAAGGCAGCCAGGUUGCACCAUCGCAGAAUGGAGAUGAUGCACUGACCCAAAAAAAUAACAAAUUGGAAGAA
rnacentral:misc_RNA from 1 species